CUGGUGUGAUCAGAGCAGGUUCCCCUCAGACUAUGGGCCAACCUGUUUAUACCACACCACACAUUAACAUGGAGUCUGUCACUCAACGGAA